AUUGAACGCUGGCGGCAGGCCUAACACAUGCAAGUCGAACGAGUGGCGGACGGGUGAGUAAUGUCUGGGAAACUGCCUGAUGGAGGGGGAUAACUACUGGAAACGGUAGCUAAUACCGCCUACCAUCGGAUGUGCCCAGAUGGGAUUAGCUAGUAGGUGGGGUAACGGCUCACCUAGGCGACGCUCCCUAGCUGGUCUGCGAGGAUGACCAGCGUCACUGGAAGUUGGACACGGUCCAGACUCCUCCGGGAGGCAGCAGUGGGGAAGAUUGCACAAGGGGCGCAAGCCUGAUGCAGCCAUGCCGCGGGUAUGAAGAAGGCCUGCGGGUUGUAAAGUACUUUCAGCGGGGAGGCGUUACCCGCAGAAGAAGCACCGGCUAACUCCGUGCCAGCAGCCGCGGUAAUAC
rnacentral:rRNA from 1 species